rnacentral:tRNA from 1 species
GGAAGGGUCGCCUAGCUGGUUUAUGGCGCUGACCUGGAAAGUCAGUAGGGCGGAAACGUCCUCGAGGGUUCGAAUCCCUCCCCUUCCG